rnacentral:lncRNA from 1 species
GUAUAGUUGAUUUAAACAAUGCUGUGUUAAUUUCCACUGUACAGCAAAGUUAUUCAGUUAUAUAUACAUAUAUAUAGUAUAUACACAUUCUUUUUUAUAUUCUUUUCCAUUAUGGCUUGUUACAGGAUACUGAAUAUAGUUCCUUGUGCUAUAUAGAAUGACCUUGUUUUUUAUCCAUUCUGCAUACAAUAGCUUGCAUUUGCCGAGUUCCUGUUGUGGCGCAGCAGAAAAGAAUCAGACGGUAUCCAUGACGAUGCGGAUUCAAUCCCUGGCCUCACUCACUGGGUCUGGGAUCUGGCGUUGUUGUGAGCUGUGUGUGGCGUAGGUCACAGAUGCACUUCGGAUCUGACGUUGCUGUGGCUGUGGCAUAGACCGGCAGCAGCAGCUCCAAUUCGACUCCUGGCCUGCGAACUUCCAUAUGCCUUGGGUGUGGCCCUAAAAAGCAAAAAAAAAAGUUUACAUUUGCUAAUCCCAAACUCCCAUUCCAUCCCUCUCCCAACCUGCUCCCCAAUGGCAACCAUAAGUCUGUUCUCUAUGACUGUGAGUCUGAUUGUGUUUUGAAUCUAUUCUUUUAAAAGUCCCUUCAAUUAGAAAUGAAAAGGUUAUUUUAAAAAAAUAAUAAUCUAACCAAUUAACAAGGAUACAAUUCUGUCUGUUAAAACAUUUUGACAAUGAUGUCGAAAUUAGCCAAUUUUCCUAUAAAUUAUUAUUCUAUUUUCAAAAGAAAAUCAAAGCAUAAACUUCCCUUUAUCUCUUAGAUGAAUGGAAUAAUAUAUGAAAAGCUAUUAAUAUAUUUUAAAAGCAGCCAACAGCCCCAUAACAGACAAAAAAUAUUCUUGUAUAACACAUAUAAGCUAAUAUGAAAAAUCCGUUUCCAUUAAGUUCUGACCUUCCAGGUCACUUAAACUCUCCUUUCACUCAGAUCUAAACCAGAGAAGUAACAUUCUGCUUAGCUCAUAAAUAUGUUGAAAAACAUGUGAAACUCCUCUUGUAAACUCCUCAUUAUUUAUUCAUCCAACCAACCAAAAUGUAUUGACCACUUUGUACUUUUUAGGGUUAUAUACAUAACUAAGACACAUGUAUAAAACUAAUUAAUCAUAUACAUAACUAAUUAGAGCUAUGCCUCUAAUUUUUUGAGUUAGAGAAAUUCACAACUCCAUUGAUUAUCCAGCAGCAUAAUUAUAACUAAUGCAACUCUAUCUGGAAACUCUAUGCACAAUUCCUAGUGUUUGUUGUCACAUACUGGUUAUGAGGUCUUUGGCAUUCGUGCCCUCUUACUGGGGCAACCCAUGUCUUCUGAAGAGGGAUGUGAAAGGAAUGGGGUUAUUCUGUGCUUGGAAAACAGAAGUACAAAGCUAUUUUAGAAGGCACUGUGGGAGAAAUGAGAAAUGACAUCUAAACAAAACUAGAGGAACAGGGAAGAUUUUGCAGAGAAAGUGAAACAAAUUUUAAAAAAUCAGGUCUGAGUCAUCUAGGCAGGGACUUCUAGCCUGUGAGAAAAUUAAUUUCUGGGGGUUUGUUGUUGUCGUUCAUUUGUUCAAAAAGAAAGAAGUGUUUAUUCAGAUAAGAGAUGCUGCUAGCAUAGUGGGACGACCUCCUGAUGUUAGGGAGAGCCAAUCCCAAGGAGACACCUGCUGACCUGCUGAUUGGUUGGGGAAAGAGGGGUCUUACGAUAUACUUGCUGGUUGGUUGGAGGCAGAUAAGACCUCUAUAGGGGCAGGGUGAGGAGGGGGCUACAUGCCUUUCUUAGUAGGGGGCAGGAAGGAGUAGGCCAGGUUGCUCAAGUUUGCUCCGCCCUCAGGUUGGUGGAGGGGGACUGUCAUUUAAGCCAUGUCUAUGGUGUUUUGUUAUAUGGCAGCUCUAGCAGCCACACACAGUCCCCUAUGACUAGAGAUAGGAGAAGGGAUCAGAGAAGGUAGAAGGUGAGGCUCAGAUGAGUUCCUAUAGAGGUGCUAGCUGCCAUCAUGAUUACCUCUCACUCAUGGGGUGUGGCCUUGGUAGCAGGAUAAUUCCUGAUGAGUCCCUUCCUCUACAGAAGCCAUCUCUCUCCCUGAUGCAAUACCCUGUGCCCACUCUUGUGACUUUACAUCUUGAGGCUGCAAUGCAGGAAGAAAAGACCUGUGAAGGCAUCCAUUCCAACAGCUGAGGCACAGGGCCUGACCCAGCUUCUGGAGCUGCCUGGGGUGUUGCCACUUGCAAGCUGGUUCUCUAGCCUCCCUUCAAUUCUUUAAGCCUCAAUAUCUUUUAAAUAAAGUCUACUUUGCUUAGGAAAGACAGAAUCAUUUCCUGUUUCAGCUAAGGUCCUUGGUUGCAAACAUUUCCAUCACUUUCCUGACUGAAGAAUGAGAAAGAUAGAUGACUAGACCAACAGGAUUGCUGGGUGGCACUGGGGAGCAAAUUUACUUAAGAAAUAACUUUGUAAAAUUAUCACUCCUCAAUGGUGUUAUUUUUCCCAGCAGUAUUCUGCAGCCUGAAGGUCCCAUCAUGGCUCAGCAGUAACGAACCCAACAAGUAUCCAUAAGGAUGUAGUUUCAAUCCCUUGCCUGGCUCAGUGGGUUAAGGAUCUGGCAUUGCCGUGAGCUAUGGUGUAGGUCACGGACUCAACUCGGAUCCCAUGUUGAUGUGGCUGUGGUAUUGGCCAGCAGCUGUAGCUCUAAUUCCACCCCUAGCCUGGGAACUUCCAUAUGCCAUGGGUGUGGCCCUAAAAAAGAAAAAAAAUAUUUCCCUGAGAUAUUUUGUAUUCAUCCAUAAGAUAGAGGAAUUUUUUGUUUGUUUUUGUUUUUGUUUUUUAGUAUUACUUCUGGACCUCCCAUUGUGGCUCAGUGGAAACAAUGUGACUAGGACCCAUGAGGAUGCAGGUUCAACUCCUGGCUUUGUUCAGUGGGCUAAGGAUCCGGCAUCGCCAUGAGCUAUGGCAUAACCCCCCGUCACAGAUGCAGCUCGGAUCUGGCAUUGCUGUGGCUGUGGUGUAGGCCAGUAGCUGUAGCUCCAAUUUGACGCCUAGCCUGAGAACUUCCAU